UGUAACCUGGGGUGUGCGAUAAAACCCGUAUUUUUGAACCUACAUCAUCUUAAAGGGAAUCCAAUAUUCAUGAGUGGAUGUCAGGCCUCCUUAGUCAGUGGAAGGCAGAAGCUCAUAUGCGGACACCCACCUGGCAUAUCUGCUAGGACUCAAAAAGCGGGGCGGCACUUUGGGUACAC
rnacentral:other from 1 species